AAUAACUAUUCUUUUUAUAUUGUAAAGUAUACCAUAAUAAUUCAUAAAUUCAUUUAAUCUAGUUAAGAUCAAUGAUAAAUUUCAUUCCAAACAUGCUUGUCUAUCAAUCAAUCUAUCUCUAAAAAUUUUCCAUCGACGACACCAACUAAAUUUGGUGCGCACAAUGUAUCUGCACAUGUAUCAACAGACGUGCCCCGCGAUGCAAAUUUGCAUCUGGUUGCGCAACCGCGCUCUCGGACAUGGUCGCAAAAAUACAGUCAUACUAUAUCGAUCGAUGUGUAAUCGAUGAAUCUAAUAAUGGCCUGAGCCGCUAUUAUUCAAGAUCGACGCUUGUGCAGCACGCGGUCAAAAUCCAUUCGUGAAAUCAACGCGGUUGAGAAAAGAUAUAUAUUCCCCUUUACAAACUGGCGAAACGUUUCGUUGGUGGUAGGCGGCCGAGCGUGGGUCUCGGUGGCCUCUCUACCGCGAUUUAAAUAUUUAACUCCGCUUAAACGUGAGCGAGAGCCAACCAUUACUCGCGCGAGCGAUAAUUUUCAUCCGCGGGUAAAACUCGCUUGGGAAAAUCGACCGACCGCAUGAAUCAUCCUCCUACCUGAUUUCCAAUCUAACUGAUGAGAACCAAUGGGAAAAUCUCAUUGGCACUCUUGGUUUUGCAUUUGUUAGGUUAGGUAAUACUAGUUCUCUGCCUAUUUAAUUGGAAUCUUAUUUUUUUAUUUGUGUAGUGAUUAGAUAAUCAUCUACCUUGUUAUUAUUACAUUAUCGUUACGAGCAGUAAUAAAUAAAGUGUGCGAAGCCAAAUUUGUAAUACUACUGGCCUAUUGGCUGUAAAUUAAGAAGUAGGAAAAGAAGAUCACAUUUCUAAUUUUCGACGAUAACGAGGAGUCAAAAAUCGUACGUCAUAAUUCGAAGUAAAAAUGUAUGUAAACGGUUCGAAAAGCGAAAAUGCACAGAUACAUUGCAAACAUAUAUAAAUUGAAUUAAAAAACUGAUAUAAAAUAAAGAUGUUACAUUCGAAGAUAAAUUUUACGAUUGAAAAUAAUCGUGUUAUUAUUUAAUAUAUAUAUUAUAUAUAUUUAAUAAUAAAAUUACAUGAAAUUGUCACGUGACUCGUAAAUCUACACUUCGGGAGAAAUCGGAAAAAUUCGGAUAGGAUCGGCUGGAAUCUCGAAGUACAUGGUUGAUGAUUUCGUGUCAAUUCGGCAAUAAUUGAAUGCAGUAGUCUCUAUAAUAUUAAUUUUAUUAUAAAGUAAGUGAUGAAAUAUUUAGAAAACAAAUUAAAUCGCUUCUACGUAAUAUUAUAUUAAUUUUAAUUCAUAAUUUAUUUUUCUUGAAAUAUUUUACAGAUUAAAUUUUUCAAUAUUCCAUCUUUAAAUAACCUAUAUCAUUUAAAAGAUUAUCUAACGGAAGAAGACUAGCAAUUGUCACAAAGUAUAAUUCAUCUACCCACAAUUACUUGAGUUUAAAUGGAUUGUUCUCUCUAGGGAUGAAUUAUGUUCCUCAUUAAAACGCCUGUUGAAAAGAUUAUAUAAAAUCAAGUUGGAAAGGUAAAAUACUAAUAUUUUUUUCUCGAAAUCUUUUAAAAAAUAAGAUCUUGUAAACAAAACAAGUACAAUUGAAAUAAUUUUAAUUUAUGAUACAUUUAUAAUGCCUUCAUUUACAUACACAUGGUUCUCUCUAAAUAUGUUUUAUACGAUAAAAUUUAAGUGAUUUGACCUUAUAACAAGAAUAAAUUAUUAAUGCUUCCCAUUUAAAAUAGGGAAAUUUAAAAUCGCAGCAAUUUAACCUGAAGCUUGUACAUCUAAUAUUGUAUAUAUCUUAAAUUUCAACCUUUCUAUUGUCGAUAAUUGCUGAUGUAUUAUUCAUUUGUUCCAAUCUCGCGCCGGUAUUAACGAGCGAACUAUCGACAAAGUGGGCAUUAAAUAUGUAAAGCUUUUCAACUUUAACAAAAUAUAAAAGUUGUAAAUUA